rnacentral:SRP_RNA from 1 species
GCCGGGCAUGGUGGCUCAUGCCUGUAAUCCUAACACUUUGGGAGGCCGAGGUGGGUGGAUCACCUGAGGUCAGGAGUUCUACACCAGCCUGGCCAACAUGGUGAAACCCCAUCUCUA